GGGGCUGUGGCGCAAUUGGUAGCGCACCUCGGUCGCAUCGAGGGGGUUGAGGGUUCGAGUCCCUUCAGCUCCACCA
rnacentral:tRNA from 1 species